UCUCCCUUACGGGAGCGGUCUCGCUAGACACUCAACUAGCGACAGGGGUUGCGCUCGUUGCGGGACUUAACCCGACACCUCACGGCACGAGCUGACGACAGCCAUGCAGCAUCUGUACCACACGCCUUGCGGCCACCGGGUUUCCCCGGCUGUAAGUGGCGUUUCAAGCCCUGGUAAGGUUCUGCGCGUUGCGUCGAAUUAAACCACACGCUCCGCUGCUUGUGCGGGCCCCCGUCAAUUCCUUUGAGUUUCAGCCUUGCGGCCGUACUCCCCAGGCGGGGCACUUAAUGCGUUAGCGCCGGCACUCGGAGGGUCGCUCCCCCAAGCACCUAGUGCCCAUCGUUUACGGCGUGGACUAC
rnacentral:misc_RNA from 1 species